UGACUUGCGACUUGACUAAAUGGCACAAUUAGCAAUGAAUGGAGUCUGACCCCUCUGCCCAACCCAGAGGGGGUCUCACUGCCUAACACCUGGUUCAGCCCCACUUCAGUAAGAGUGAGCCCUCCACCCCAUCCUGAGUUUCAAACGAUGCUGAAUAGACUUAGGUCAUCCAUCCUCCUAGCCUUUGGAAUGUGAAUCCCAGGGUUACCGGUAAAGCUCUGGCCCAAUUCUUCCUCAGCUUGCCCUCAUCCCGUCCCCCACCCCAGCAUGACAAACCCCAAACUCCUUCUCUCAGGCUUCUCUCUGGCCCAGCAAGGUGCUGCAAUCUCAUCACCUCCAAACAAUCUGCUUCAGUCCUGCUGCGUGUUCCUGCUUAUUAAAUUGUAGUAUUACCCCACUCCGCUGCAGCAGCAGGGCUCCCGGACUGGUUUAUUGUUCUAUUGCUCAGAACUGCUGAACUCAGCGCCAGCGCCGGCUUCUCCAGGACUAUGCCUGACGGAUGAGCUGGCACCCGCCAGCGUCUGAGAGCAGAGACUUGCGCUCCGAGCCCCAAAACGACUCCCCACCUGAAGAAAGAGUGCAGAAUGCUCCAGGCAGACGCAAGGCCCUCCAGAACUGGGGAAGGCAAUCACGGAGUGUCUGAUGUAAAGAGCCCUUUGAUGGAAGCCAGGAGAUCCAGGUAUUUUUGAAUCUUAACCCUACACUGGCUGCAUGAACUUGAGACAGAAAUUCUCCUAGAGCCUCAUUUUUCCCAUCUGUUUGGUAAGAAGUUUGGAUUGGUUGAUGUCUGAAGAGAUUUUGAGCAGAGAGAGAAUUUGGGUUCUACGAAGCGCUGUGGGACAGCACGGCCCCGCGAUAUCCUAUAAAUUGGGUUCUUUAAUUCCCCUCCUUUCCUGGGACGGGGGAGGAAUCUACUUUCCCUGAGCACCAGGAGAUCUGCCUUAAGAGCACAUGGAAGUCAGGCUAGGAGUCUCGGCAAAAUACACCACAUCUGAGGAGACUUCAAGUGCCGUUGCCCUCCCGAUGUGGCAAGAGGGAGAAAUGGGGAGAGGGAAGAAGGAGAUGGGGAGGAGAGGGGGAAGGGGAAUUAAAAUAAUCAGUGGUUGAUAGACCACUAAUGUUCCUAAUGAGUUGUCUGGCUCUUUCUCCAAUUCCUUUUGUCUCUUCCCAACUUCCUCUCACACAGGGUAGUGUUUUUCCCCACCCCCUGGAAUGAAAGAGAAGAGGGUCUGAAAGCCUCUUGGAUUAUAAAAGCCUCUUACUCUUCACGAGGAGCGCAGCAAACUCACUCUGUACUAAAUGCCAGGAUAACCCACUGGCUGGGCCUCUCCUCGGGCCCAAGGGUCCCUGGAUGGGGUGGCGGAUCUCUGCUGGAUUCCUGAUGUGCACUGCGUAGAGCUAGGACCCAGGAGUACGGCUAAAAGCUCCAGAGGCCAUCCAGUUCCACUACCUGCGCGCACGUAUGCGCGCGCGCGCACACACACACACACAGCCCCUCCUAGCCGGGAUAAGAUCUUAGAUUCCCUUUCUUCCUUCCCCAGGUUUCUGGGAGGCCAGGAACAGCGCUCAGAUCACCUGAGUCUCUCCAAGGAUAGAGACCUCCCCUCCUUUUUCUGGUGUUUACAGAACAGUAAGAAAGCGAGGUUAGGUGCAGAAGGGCCUCGCCAUUCCUGGCCCCCAGGGGGUGUGGGUGCUGAGAGGCGGAGCCAGCGGCCCAGGCCUCUCCGCAUUGGGCGGGCUCGGCAGGUAACCCGAAGCUUGGCGGAGAGGUGCAUAAAUAAAGUGUGGAACUAGCACCACCUCCUUGAAAGGGUCUGAGUCCUACUUCUUCACCUUUGCCUUGGAAAAACCGGCUUCUCUCUCUUUUAUUGUCUGUGCUGAAAGUUCAACUGAGCCCCACCGUACUCCAAACUCUUUCUUUCUGGCUGAAUCUGCUCCCCUCUAUUCCAUCUCCCCUUUCCUCUGCUUUCAUAUGCUUUUUUAAUUAAAGGUAAAGUGACUGUUCAGGACCGGCCCCCACCUGCCCUCACUCAGGACCCAUUUCUGUUCUGCACGGGCCUGCUCAGCUGGACACUUUAUACAGUAAGUGCUCCUCGUUUCUUAUUCCCGGUCCUCAAACCUUAGGGGUGAAAGAACAUUCCAAGACUUGGAAUUCCUUUUCUUCCUCUCAUGCGCACGAGUCUCCAGCCAUCCCUUUGUUCUGAAUUAUCUGAUGAAAAAAAUCUAUGUAUUGUUUUGAAUCAAGCUCAGAGGAGGCCCUGUUACCUGAAGGUAA